rnacentral:rRNA from 1 species
GACGAACGCUGGCGGCGUGCUUAACACAUGCGAGUCGAACGGAAAGGCCCUGCUUUUGUGGGGUGCUCGAGUGGCGAACGGGUGAGUAACACGUGAGUAACCUGCCCUUGACUUUGUGAUAACUUCAGGAAACUGGGGCUCAUACCGGAUAUGAUCUCCUGCUGCAUGGUGGGGGUUGGAAAGUUUCGGCGGUUGUGGAUGGACUCGCGGCUUAUCAGCUUGUUGGUGGGGUAGUGGCUUACCAAGGCUUUGACGGGUAGCCGGCCUGAGAGGGUGACCGGCCACAUUGGGACUGAGAUAGGGACCAGAAUCCUACGGGAGGCAGCAGUGGGGAAUAUUGCACAAUGGGCGGAAGCCUGAUGCAGCAACGCCGGGUGCGGGAUGACGGCCUUCGGGUUGUAAACCGAUUUCGCAUGUGACGAAGCGUGAGUGACGGUAAUGGGUAAAGAAGCACCGGCUAACUACGUG